rnacentral:rRNA from 1 species
GACGAACGCUGGCGGCGUGCUUAACACAUGCAAGUCGAACGGAAAGGCCCUGCUUUUGUGGGGUGCUCGAGUGGCGAACGGGUGAGUAACACGUGAGUAACCUGCCCUUGACUUUGGGAUAACUUCAGGAAACUGGGGCUAAUACCGGAUAGGAGCUCCUGCUGCAUGGUGGGGGUUGGAAAGUUUCGGCGGUUGGGGAUGGACUCGCGGCUUAUCAGCUUGUUGGUGGGGUAGUGGCUUACCAAGGCUUUGACGGGUAGCCGGCCUGCGAGGGUGACCGGCCACAUUGGGACUGAGAUACGGCCCAGACUCCUACGGGAGGCAGCAGUGGAGAAUAUUGCACAGUGGGCGGAAGCCUGAUGCAGCAACGCCGCGUGCGGGAUGACGGCCUUCGGGUUGUAAACCGCUUUCGCCUGUGACGAAGCGUGAGUGACGGUAAUGGGUAAAGAAGCACCGGCUAACUACGUG